rnacentral:rRNA from 1 species
UACGGUAGGGUGCAAGCGUUAAUCGGAAUUACUGGGCGUAAAGCGUGCGCAGGCGGCUAUGCAAGACAGAUGUGAAAUCCCCGGGCUCAACCUGGGAACUGCAUUUGUGACUGCAUAGCUAGAGUAACGGUAGAGGGGGAUGGAAUUCCGCGUGUAGCAGUGAAAUGCGUAGAUAUGCGGAGGAACACCGAUGGCGAAGGCAAUCCCCUGGACCUGUACUGACGCUCAAUGCACGAAAGCGUGGGGA